rnacentral:rRNA from 1 species
AAUGAACGCUGGCGGCGUGGAUUAGGCAUGCAAGUCGAACGAGAAAGCGAAAUUUAUUUCGCGUGUAAAGUGGCGAACGGGUGAGUAACGCGUGGGAAACCUGCCCUUGAGUGGGGGACAACAUUUCUAACGGAAUGCUAAUACCGCAUAAUAUUAUCCGGCGCAUGUCGGAUAAUCAAAGGUGGCCUCUACUUGUAAGCUAUCGCUUGAGGAUGGUCCCGCGUCCAAUUAGCUAGUUGGUAGGGUAACUGCCUACCAAGGCGACGAUUGGUAGCCGGCCUGAGAGGGUGACCGGCCACACUGGGACUGAGACACGGCCCAGACUCCUACGGGUGGCAG